rnacentral:rRNA from 1 species
GGGGAAUAUUGCACAAUGGGCGAAAGCCUGAUGCAGCGACGCCGCGUGGGGGAUGACGGUCUUCGGAUUGUAAACUCCUUUCAGUAGGGACGAAGCGAAAGUGACGGUACCUGCAGAAGAAGCACCGGCCAACUACGUGCCAGCAGCCGCGGUAAUACGUAGGGUGCAAGCGUUGUCCGGAAUUACUGGGCGUAAAGAGCUCGUAGGCGGUUUGUCACGUCGUCUGUGAAAUCCUCCAGCUCAACUGGGGGCGUGCAGGCGAUACGGGCAGACUUGAGUACUACAGGGGAGACUGGAAUUCCUGGUGUAGCGGUGAAAUGCGCAGAUAUCAGGAGGAACACCGGUGGCGAAGGCGGGUCUCUGGGUAGUAACUGACGCUGAGGAGCGAAAGCAUGGGGAGCAAAC